rnacentral:lncRNA from 1 species
GGCAGUCCUCCUCUCUCAGUCUUCCCAGGACUGGAGUUAAAGGCAUGGGUCACAAUGAGCAGCUGCAGACCUGUUGACUUUAGACUGUUGCCCCACUCCGGCAUUUCAGGAGGACUCACUGCUAUUCUCCUUCUCUCUCCUAAGGACUGUCCAUCGCUAAGCUCCUUCCUCUGAUGGGGUCAUGAUAUACUGGAAACCACACAAGAUUAGUCUGGGGAGGCAGAAACCAUAAAGCCCCUGAGACUAGGUUCGGAGAGGAAAGAUAAAGGAAAGACCCCCUCUCAGCUUCACCCUUUACCUGUCUCAGAAACAACAGCCCAUUUUAACCACAGAUUUCACCUGGGCCACAGGACACCAUGGAUGUGCACCCUGAUGCCCCUGGGGGUCAAAAGAAAACAGUGGAGAACGGCAUGGGAGGCGGCAGCCCAGGAGCCCAGCAAGACUCUGUGAUGAGGACAGAUUCAUCGGAGAUGACUGAUGUGGAAUCUGUAAUCAGCAGCUUCGCGUCUUCAGCAAGGGCGGGCCGCCGCAAUGCCUUACCCGACAUCCAGAGUUCACUGGCUACAGGUGGAUCCCCUGAUCUUGCACUGAAGCUGGAGGCAUUGGCUGUGAAGGAAGAUGCAAAAAUGAAGAAUGAAGAGAAAGACCAAGGCCAA